AAGCACAUUCUCAUAUGAUCACCAAAGUUAAGCAACACCAGGCCUGGUCAGUACUUAGAUGGGGGACCACUUGGGAAUACCAGGUGCUGUAAG